CAUUUAUUUUCGGCGUUGGGUUAUUUUUGGUUAACCAACUGUUGGGUUAAAUAUGGUUCCCGCUUCACUCCGGUUCAAAAUGUAACGGUCCAGUAAGCGACUCAGUGGACAUCAGUGGCAGCCUGCCUGAUUAUGAAAGGAAAGAUUACAACAGCGGGACCUCUUCAAGAGCUUCAGUGUUUACAUCAGAACUCAGUAUUGGCCGAUGCAUGCGCGUGAUGCUGACGGAGGAGCCGGCCAAUAAAGAGUUUGCGUUCGGAUGUAAGUACAUGGAAGCUCUGAACUGCAUUCACUACGUCAACUGCGUAUGUCAACAGUUUAAACUGUUAAACGAAGUAGUUAUUUUUGUUUUGUU
ensembl:lncRNA